UAAUGCAUCGGAACGUACCCAGAAAUGGGGGAUAACGUAGCGAAAGUUACGCUAAUACCGCAUAUUCUCUGAGGAGGAAAGCAGGGGAUCGCAAGACCUUGCGCUUUUGGAGCGGCCGAUGUUGGAUUAGCUAGUUGGUGGGGUAAAGGCCCACCAAGGCUACGAUCCAUAGCUGGUCUGAGAGGAUGAUCAGCCACACUGGGACUGAGACACGGCCCAG
rnacentral:rRNA from 1 species